UGUUAUUCUCGCUUGACUGCUUUCCUCUCUCUCCCCGUUGUGUCCACUGUCUUCCUUUUUUUCUUUUUCUUUUUAUUUCCCUGUUCUUGAGAUGAAGAAGCUGAGUCGGUAUGUCUGUUUCUUAAGAUGAAACACAGACAAUUGCAGGGAUCUCUCCUUUCUGUAUCUGUUACUCUCUUAUUCUCUCCUUCUCUGUGUAUGUUAUUUUCGGUUUAUGCUCUGUUUUUCUCUGGUUUUUUUACUCUGUCUUGGCUCCCCCCCUCUUCUCCUCUGAUUUUCGGCCCCUUUUAUAGAGACCCAGCUGCUUGCCUCUAACCAUUCCUGCCUUUACAGGACUGUUAUCUUCCCCGACGAGAUCGUGGGCGAGAGACGUGGUCCACGAUCAGAUUUGUUGCAGAUUAUCAGCUCCCCUGCUGAAUCGGGAGCUCCCCUGUUGAAGCGGGAUGGAGAAGACG
rnacentral:lncRNA from 1 species